UGGGGAAUAUUGCACAAUGGGGGAAACCCUGAUGCAGCGACGCCGCGUGAACGAAGAAGGUAUUCGUAUCGUAAAGUUCUGUCCUAGGGGAAGAUAAUGACAGUACCAUAGAAGAAAGCUCCGGCUAAAUACGUGCCAGCAGCCGCGGUAAUACGUAUGGAGCGAGCGUUGUCCGGAAUUAUUGGGCGUAAAGGGUACGCAGGCGGUUUAAUAAGUCGAAUGUUAAAGAUCGGGGCUCAACCCCGCAAAGCAUUGGAAACUGAUAAACUUGAGUAGUGGAGAGGAAAGUGGAAUUCCUAGUGUAGUGGUGAAAUACGUAGAUAUUAUGAGGAAUACCAGUAGCGAAGGCGACUUUCUGGACACAAACUGACGCUGAGGUACGAAAGCGUGGGGAGCAAACAGG
rnacentral:rRNA from 1 species